rnacentral:rRNA from 1 species
UACGGAGGGGGCUAGCGUUGUUCGGAAUUACUGGGCGUAAAGCGCGCGUAGGCGGACCUGCAAGUCGGGGGUGAAAGCCCGAGGCUCAACCUCGGAACUGCCUUCGAUACUGCGGGUCUCGAGUCCGGGAGAGGUGAGUGGAAUUCCCUAGUGUAGAGGUGAAAUUCGUAGAUAUUAGGAAGAACACCAGUGGCGAAGGCGGCUCACUGGCCCGGUACUGACGCUGAGGCGCGAAAGCGUGGGGAGCAAACAGG